GAGAAGGCAGAUUAUAUAAGACGGAUGUCCACUAGGCCUACUUCCAAUGACGAAAAUUGUGUACUAAUACAAUAGAGCAGUUGUCGGCGGUGGAUCAAGACGUAAAGGACUGAGCAGCACAGCCAAAUCGUCGCAAAGACCGACAUACAGACAUGGGUUGCAGUCCGAGCUCACUAGGAGAUGGACUUGGUGAUGUUGCGGGGGACAUUGGCGACAAAGCUCUUGCCAACGCCAAAGAUGCCGCCAAAAAGACCGCUCAUGAUGCCCUGGACAGCGGUAUGGAGGCAACUGAACGGGGCAUUAAAGGCAAAAUAGCAGAAGCCACGUAGACAAGGGCAAAAUCGUCCAUGUACAGAGAAUAUAAUGUUUCCCAUCUUCACGUGAAGAUCAUUGUAUUUACUUUUUGUGGAAACCUUGCUUAUUGUACAAUGACAUUUGAAAUGCCAUACUUCAGCUGUCUUUUGUGGUGAUCACAGCAACAAAAUGUUUGAGACUACUUGAGAAGACCUUUUGGGUAAAUAUUAAGCAUACCGAGGGAAAGAGAGGGUGAA